rnacentral:tRNA from 1 species
GCUGCUGUAGCUCAGUCGGCAGAGCGCAUCCUUGGUAAGGAUGAGGUCGCCCGUUCGAAUCGGGCCAGCAGCUCCA